UAGUAAAGGAAGUGAGAAAAG
rnacentral:piRNA from 1 species